rnacentral:rRNA from 1 species
GACAGAGGGGGCAAGCGUUAUUCGGAAUCACUGGGCAUAAAGGGCGCGUAGGCGGCUUCAUAAGUCAGGGGUGAAAUCCGGCAGCUUAACUGUCGCAGUGCCUUUGAUACUGUGGAGCUCGAGGGAGGUAGGGGUCUGUGGAACUUCCGGUGGAGCGGUGAAAUGCGUUGAUAUCGGAAGGAACGCCGGUGGCGAAAGCGACGGACUGGAUCUCUUCUGACGCUGAGGCGCGAAAGCCAGGGGAGCAAACGGG